AAACUCAAAUUCAAAGUCUGCGUAAUAAUGGAAAUAAAUUAUCCACAUUCAGCAGCCAGAAAGGCAUUUGCGAUGCCAAUUUCGCCACGCUCGCUUUCUGGUUCCAGAAUAUAAUCAUCCUCUCCCUGUUAGUUGACAGCAAAUUUAGGCUUAUUUACAAAAUUGGUGCUGAUUUUUAUUUUUCCUUAAUUUUUAAGAUUAAGGACGUUAACUUG
rnacentral:lncRNA from 1 species